rnacentral:rRNA from 1 species
AGCAGGUACACCACCGCAGAUUACCCCGUGUAUCCGCGCCAUAAGCGCCCACUGGCGGUUGGGGGAUUCACCCCUCCAUGCCAGCUAACGGUAAGUGUGCGCCUGGGAGUACGCGCAGCUAACUCAAAGAAUGACGGGGCCCGCACAAGCAGAGGAGCAUGUGGCUAAUUCGAUGCAACGCGAAGAACUUUACUGGGCUUGACAUGGAGCUGCACGACCUAUGAAAGUAGGUCUCCUUCGAGGGUGCUUCACAGGUGCUGCAUGGCUGUCGUCAGUUCGUGCCGUGAGGUGUUUGGUUAAGUCCACCAACGAACGCAACCCCUUAUCCGUGUUGCCAGCGGUUCGGCCGGGAACUCGCGGAUGACUGCCAGUUCACACUGGAGGAAGGUGGGGAUGACGUCAAGUCAGUAUGGCCCUUACGCCCAAAGGCUGCACACGUGCUACAAUGGCAUAUUUUUGUGCGUAGCAAGGCCGCAAGGCGGAGCAAAUCGCACAGAGUAUGCCCCAGUUCAGAUCGGGGUCUGCAACAACCGCACCGUGAAGUCGGAUUUGCUAGUAACGGCGUAUCAGCUACGACGCCGUGAAUGCGUUCCCGGGCCUUGUACACACCGCCCGUCACAUCAUGAAAGCCGUCUGCACCCGAAGUCCGGCAUUCGUCGGCCUAAGGUGUGGGUGGUGAUUGGGAUGAAGUCGUAACAAGUG